rnacentral:rRNA from 1 species
CACGUAGGGCGCAAGCGUUGUCCGGAAUUAUUGGGCGUAAAGAGCUCGUAGGCGGUCUGUUACGUCUGCUGUGAAAACCCAGGGCUUAACCCUGGGCUUGCAGUGGAUACGGGCAGACUAGAGGCAGGUAGGGGAGAAUGGAAUUCCCGGUGUAGCGGUGAAAUGCGCAGAUAUCGGGAGGAACACCGGUGGCGAAGGCGGUUCUCUGGGCCUGACCUGACGCUGAGGAGCGAAAGCGUGGGGAGCGAACAGG